rnacentral:miRNA from 1 species
CUUCCCCCCAGUAAUCUUCAUC